AGUGAUUUCCAGGGCUAUGUAGAGAGGCCCCUGACCCAACUAAUAAGUAAACAGGAAGAUAAAUAAAUAUAAUGAACUUAGAAUAAAACAAAGAAAGGAAGAAACAAGGGAAGGCAGUGCUGGGGGCCUGGCUUAUGGUGGAUGGGGGAAUUCUGUGCUAGGGUGCCUGAAACUCUGGGCUCCAUCCUCUGUAGUGCAUAAACUCUUUGGUACGUUAGCCCCUGUCUGUAACAAGGAGCUGUCCACGGUUGCAGUACUGCCUUUCCCAUCUCAGCUGCCCCUCAGGAGCUGUCCACAGUGGCGACACUUUUUCAUCCUCAGCCUACAGCUUUAGGGAAACACCACUGCAGGGGCUGUCCCAAAGGUGCUGUCCACAGAGGCAGCACCUUCUCUGUGGUCUCACCCCUCCAGACACCCCCCAGCAGCCCCACAGGGAUGGCACCUCAGUAAAAGCCAACUGUGGCCAGAGAAGUCUUCCUACCCUAACUCAUAGACUCGAUGCAGGGAAAACAGGGUGAAAAAAAGCCACCAAGCCCUGAGCUCCCCCCAGCUCAGGACUUAAAAUCUCAUCAAUCCUCACUAUGGAAAUCUCUGCCUUGAGAAGCUCUGCCCCCUCAUAAAUCCUAUAUAAGAACUGUCCCUUUGUCCAGUUCCCUGCCAUCCGCUCCCAGGAGCAGAGGGCAGUUAUCCCUGGAUUCAUCCCUCCACACCCUGGACCUGCCAAUAAACCUUUCUUGAGAUUUCAUGCUUCCUGUGAUUCUCAGUGGAAGAAGCCAAGAAGAAAAGAACCAAAGAGAGGGAGCCAGGCUGAGGCUCCUGAGUUCUUCAGCUCAGCUGUGGAUACCUGUGAUGGGAUCCUCUCCUCUUCCUGUAGCCUAAAGGAAAGGAGCAUAGACUGGCUAUCACUCCAAAAUUCAGACCAGCAUGAGGACAUGGAGCAGUAGCAUGGAAAUGCAUGUGAAUGAUGAGAGGAUAGUUCUCAUAGAAGCUGGAGAUAUGCCACGGCCCUGGGGAGCCGCUAUGACCUUGAGCCUCUUCAUAGCGGUGUUAGGGAAAGAAAAGGCCUCUGAGGAGCAGACACAAGAAGGCACACCGAGGCUGAAUGAUGUACAGAAGACACAAAGGUCUGGAAGGGAGGAGACCCUGCACAGCAUAUCCUUACCUGUGCCCACUGCCUUAGCAACAGCUGCUUUUUCUCCUAGUCAGGGAUACUAGGAUGGAUUAGCUCUCCUAUGGUUCAGUAGAGUGAAACAUUUUCAUAUUUGUCAGCCCCUGAAUCCAACCAGAUGGAGAACAGACACUCCUCAAGUAGAAAAAGUGGAGGAAAUAUAUUUAUUGAUUAAAAAUAUGAAACACAUCAGAUUU
rnacentral:lncRNA from 1 species